rnacentral:rRNA from 1 species
UACGUAGGUGGCUAGCGUUAUCCGGAUUUAUUGGGCGUAAAGAGGGUGCUGGUGGCUUUGUAAGUCGGAUGUGAAAUCUCCUGGCUUAACUGGGAGCGGUCAUUCGAUACUGUGAAGCUUGAGAGCAUCAGAGGGAGAUGGAAUUCCCGGUGUAGUGGUGAAAUGCGUAGAUAUCGGGAGGAACACCAGUGGCGAAAGCGAUCUCCUGGGGUGCUUCUGACGCUUAGGCCCGAAAGUGUGGGGAUCAAACAGGAUUAGAUACCCUGGUAGUCCACACUAUAAACGAUGGACACUAGAUAUGGGGAGUAUCGACCCUCUCCGUGUCGUAGCUAACGCGUUAAGUGUCCCGCCUGGGGAGUACGGUCGCAAGACUA